UUUUUUUCUGGAACAUUUUCUAUUUAUCUUAAAACUUUUAUUAAAUUUUGCAUGCUUUCAUUUUUAAACUAAAGACAUGUAAUCAACUAUGGAAUUAUUUUCUUCUACAUUAGUUCUUUUGUUAUCUUAAUAAAAAUACACAGCAAUUAGAAAUGAAACUUGAAAAUAAAGUACUAUUUACAUAUAUUUAUAAAAAUGGAUUAUCUGAAUAUGAUUAUAAUAAUACUUUGUAUUCUGUUACAGAAUUAAUUAAAAGGAUUUAUGGUAUAUCUUAUGACUCUACAGAAGCCUUGGGAUAUAGAUAGAAAUGAAUGCCAUUUCCCAUCCAGUACUGAAGUGUUAAAGUUGGAAGACAUUUGCUAAGUCAAAUCACUUCAGGUAAGUCUGCUCACAUCUAGCUUGGUACCAGCUUAAGGUUCAUUUAAAAUGCAGAGAAUUAAGUUCACUAACUUGGACAUCUCAACUCUCAAAUUUCUCAGCAUAUCUUCUAGUCACCUGGUAUGUUGAAUCACUGGUCUUGGGAAAUAGUGGGAAAAUGAUUUCUUAUUAAAUUUCACAUGCUUAUAAAAAUAAAAUGUUCUGGCCAGGCAUGGUGACUCACGCUUGUAAUCCCAGCACUGUGGGAGGCCGAGGUGGGUGGAUCACCUGAGGUCAGGAGUUCGAGACCGGCCUGACCAACAAGGUGAAACCCCAUCCCUACUAAAACUACAAAAAUUAGCUGGCCAUGGUGGCAGACACCUGUAGUCCCAGC
rnacentral:lncRNA from 1 species